GGCAAAUGAGAACAUUAUCCUUGCUACCACACGGCAUGGAGGACACCUAGCUUAUUAUGAGGGGAUCACUGCAAAUAACUUGUGGUGGGUGAGGGCUGUUGAUGAAUUCUUUCAUGCCCUGCAAUCUAGCCCAUUGAGAAACAGAAGAAAGAAGAUGGAAGAAUCGAACAUGACUUCUGUGCUGGAAUCCUCGAUUGAUCAGGGGCCCUAUGUGAAUGUUAGGGAAGAUGGAAUGGUGACUGCAAUAGGCAAAACCAAAGAUAAUGUUGCAGAAGAUACACCCAACGAAGAUGGGGAUCAUGUUAAGAGGGAUGAAGAAAACAUUUCUGAAAGAGAAAGGAGAGAUAACAUGACAGAGG
rnacentral:misc_RNA from 1 species